rnacentral:rRNA from 1 species
GACGAACGCUGGCGGCGUGCCUAACACAUGCAAGUCGAACGGGGCUCUUUGGAUCGAGACUUCGGUCAAGUGAAUCUGAGCUUAGUGGCGGACGGGUGAGUAACGCGUGAGCAACCUGCCUAUCACAGGGGAAUAACGCAUCGAAAGGUGUGCUAAUACCGCAUGAGACCACAGGACCGCAUGGUCAAGGGGUCAAAGAUUUAUCGGUGAUAGAUGGGCUCGCGUCUGAUUAGCUGGUUGGUGAGGUAACGGCCCACCAAGGCGACGAUCAGUAGCCGACCUGAGAGGGUGAUCGGCCACAUUGGAACUGAGAAACGGUCCAA